rnacentral:rRNA from 1 species
UGGCGACCGGCGCACGGGUGAGUAACACGUAUCCAACCUGCCGAUGACUCGGGGACAGCCUUUCGAAAGAAAGAUUAAUACCCGAUGGCAUAGUUCUUCCGCAUGGUAGAACUAUUAAAGAAUUUCGGUCAUCGAUGGGGAUGCGUUCCAUUAGCUUGUUGGCGGGGUAACGGCCCACCAAGGCAUCGAUGGAUAGGGGUUCUGAGAGGAAGGUCCCCCACAUUGGAACUGAGACACGGUCCAAACUCCUACGGAAGGCAGCAG